rnacentral:rRNA from 1 species
GACAGAGGGUGCAAACGUUGUUCGGAAUUACUGGGCGUAAAGCGCGUGUAGGCGGUCGGGCAAGUCGGAUGUGAAAGCCCAGGGCUCAACCCUGGAAGUGCACUCGAUACUGCUCGGCUAGAGUCCCGGAGAGGAUGGUGGAACUCUCGGUGUAGAGGUGAAAUUCGUAGAUAUCGAGAAGAACACCGGUGGCGAAGGCGGCCAUCUGGACGGUGACUGACGCUGAGACGCGGAAAGCGUGGGGGAGCAAACAGG